rnacentral:lncRNA from 1 species
CCACAGAGGGUGAUGCCUGAGAAGGGACAGCAGCCCAGCCCCAUUCAGGGACACGUGGCCCUGAUUUGAGCUCCUGUGACAUCACGCUCCCUCCACUUAUCUUACAUGUCACAUCUCAAACAUUUAACAUUUUACAUCUCAAACAUUUCUUGAGGCCCUUACCCUCCCAUUCCCCCAAAUCAAUACGGCACUUAGGGGACACCAAGGCGCAGAGACACUUGCCCCAAAUCAUGCAGUAAUGCCCUGGUGCCACCGUGAACAGUGCUGAAGCUUCCUGACCCCUUGUCCAGGGGACCUGGCUGCCUUUUAUAGAAAGUUUCCACACACCUUCUAUUCCUAACCUCGAUCACAAGCAUCGCCGGCCCAGAUGCUCUGUGUCACCGGCUUAGUAACAUACCCCAUUUAGGAGCAUGAGCACAACUUGUUUGCAGUGGGAAUGAAUUAACUGAAUUCUAGAUAUUGUUUUUUGGCUGCCUUUUUUUGUUUGUUUUUAUUUCAAACACAGCUAACUAAUCAGGGCUGUGGACACCAAGAAUGCCAACUUUGAUUCUUCAAGGAAAAUCAGCAGCUGACCACACACCACCCUUCCUGGUCCUCCCCGAGAUGCCAAGAACAUCCAAAGUCUGCAGUUUUGAGGAAACUGAAGCUGAUCUGACACCACUUCCUUUUUCUCCAGAUGUUACCCUUCGGAUGCAUACCUCAAUCUGCCUGAAAAUCAUGGAAUUCUGGAGAUGGAAGGGACCUCAGAGAUUUUCUGGUUCUCUCUGUUCUGGUUGUAAGUGUUCUUACCACACACCACUCCCAACCAUGGGGAGCCUUUCCACCACUGAAGAGAGCUGGGGUUACUAAAGCCACAAUCAGCUUCUCUGCAACUUCUAACCAUUUGGCUAAGAUCAGUUUUUC